GAACGGUUUAACAGCACCUCCACAUCACCUGCAUCAGAGUGUGUUUUCUGCUGGAAUCUGCUGUUCAGUGUGUGUUCGGUGUGUGUUCUCCUCUUCUCCAUCUGCGUCUACUGCCUCUGUCAGAAGAAAACUACAGGUUCUGGAGCUGAGAACAGACAUGUUGAGGCUGGUGAUGAAGUGUGUUAUGCUUCAUUAGACAUGCCUUCCACACAGCAACAAAGGCAGAGGAAUGAAAAAGGCUCAGAGUUCAGACUUCAGUAUUUAUUCUGAUGUCAGAACCAGCAGAAUGUAAAGUAGAGUAAACUAAAGUCAUUGUUCUUUAGUAGAAAUAUGAUUCAAAAGAGUGUUAAUGACAAUGUUCUGGCAUCUGCAUCCUAUUUUCAUUGAUUCUAAUAUUGUAAGUUUUUAAUGAU